AUCAGAAGAUAUAUAAUGUAUAUUUUUCUGAGUUGCUUUUCAGAUUCACAAAAAAGUCCACCCAAAUCUUCUCUUUCCAAGAAAUAAUACCUUUCAUAAAAGUAUUAACUGUUUUUAAAUCUUAAAAUUAUCAGUAAAAUAUGGAGUCGUUUUUAUAAAGACUUCAGAUCAUGCUUUUUGGUGAAAGGUGUGGAUCCAUUUCCCUUAACUGCAGUUUUAAGUAGGAAGAGUGUUCUGUAGUAGUAGUAGUAGUAGUGCCUAUUUUCUUAGAAAUUUAUUUAAAAAAAAAAAAAACAAACACAAACAGCAUUAUUACUGACUUGUUCUUAAUGUAGUGCCUUAAUCAUUUUCCGAUUGCUGUGAGAGACACUGUGACCAAGGUAACUUAUGAAAGGAAACACUUAAUUGGGGUCUUGGUUAUAGUUUCAGAGAGUUAGACCAUGACUACCAUGGAAGGGGGGCAUGGCUAUAGGCAGGCGUGGUUCCAGAGCAGUAGAAUUUAUAUCUUAUCCUUAAGUUGGAAGCACAGGGACAGAGACAGGGCCUGCGGUAGGCUUUUAAAACCUCAAAGUUCACCCCCAGUAACACAUCUUCUCCAACAAGGCCACCUCUUCUAAUUCCUCCCCAAACAGUUUCACACACUAGAGAGGGACCAAGCAUUCAAAUAAGCGAGCCUAUAGAGGCCAUUCUCAUUCAAGCCACCACUUGUCUAACUAGAUCCAUCAUGGGGUGGCAUCAUAGAAAGUCUCAUAGUUCUCUUUUGUUAUGUAAAUUUUCCAUGGUAUAUGUAUUUACCUUAUUAUUAUUCCUUUUUGGAAUUUAGUUUUUUUGUCUUUUACAGUCUCAUUCAUGUAGAUGUUGAUUCUGUCAUUUAAUCCCACUUCUUCCCAAGCAUUCCUCCUUCUGUUUUUUAUGUCCUGCCACACAGUGUAGUGGCAGGGGCUCGUGAGUCCUUACCCUUCCAUGAUAAAUGGCGUUAGGCACAGUCUUGCCAGUUUUUCACUGCUACAGUGAGUCCGUGAGUCCAAUGCACAUAGUAUACAAAAGACAUACCUCCUCACUCUCCAGUUUUUCUACUCUUCCUAUCCCAUAUUCUUUAAUGUUCCCUGACCUUGGGCUGGGUUAUAGGGAGGUCCCAUUUAGGGCCCACCACGUGACUGUCCUAUCUUCUCAGCAUCUUAGCCAGCUAUGCAUCUCUCUAUUAGCCACCGCCUAGCAUAAUAAGCAGCAGCUUUUCUGAUGAAGACUGGGAACAGUGCUAACUUAUUACCAGUGUUUAGAAUGUGCCUGGCUAUUUAAAAGCAAUUUGACCAUAGGUUCAUCUAGCAAAAUGGUAGUAAUGGAUGUGCACCCCUGGGGCUCACCAGCUCUUGAUGGCAUUUACUGCAAUAGGCAUUAAUUCCCUCCAGGGGAUCAAACCUUGAAUCCAAGAAGAAAGUAGUUGGCUACCCCCAUGAUAUUCAUGCUACUACUUCAACGAUGGGCCGGGCUUAGACACACAUACCCUUCCUCUUCUCCUCGGUGUUCACAGGUAAUUAUGGUGUUCCUCGUGUAAGAGGAGCCAAUUACCCUGUGGCGAAAACACUUGAGAAAGACAGUAGAGUAAACAUGAAUGUAGAGUCUAGUGUAGACAGAGAAGUCUGGGGAGCACUGCAAACGUCAAAGCUCUGUGUGUGAAGUAAGGCAAAAAUAACCUACUCCCAACUUAGCUGGAAACCAGAAGGUUUUAAAGGAAUUUAACAUAUAAAGUAUCGUUACUCACUUUGUGAUGUAACUGAUAUAAUAACUUUCUAUUUUCAUCAAAUGAUGAGUAUCAUUUUUAAUGUUAUUUUGACAUUAUUUUGAUAGGGAAGAAAGGAAGCUUUGAGAGCUAACUAGCCUUAAAUGAUGCUUCACAUUCUUUGUAUGUGAAUAAUAAAUGACUUUAUUUCUGAUUCUUGGCCUGGUGCCUUCUACCUAUCUGCUUAUUAGGUAGGCAAUGUGUCUCUGCGAGCCCUAUUCAUCCCUUUAGUGUGGUAUCCAUGAUUUCUCGCAGGCGAGGUAUUCUUUAGGACUUUAAUUCUAGGAAAACUGAUUUGUAGGAUGGAGAAACUGCACUAUUUUGAACCCACAUGCACAAGUCUGUAUUUUUAAUAACUGCAUGCUACCUUCCUUGUAAAAAACAAAGACAAUGUAUUCUGAAUGCUUGUUGCAUUUAGCAAGCGGCUCUUCCAGACAUUAUGGUCAUUGUCGAUAGUCUGUGCGAAUUCCCUUUAAGCUUCUCCUUCAAGCAUUAGGGCUCAAAAAAAAAAUGGCUAUUUUGGGCAGGCUGAUCUUGUACUUUUCAUUUGUAUGCUUCCCAUUGCAAUUAAAUUAAUCGUCUCUUCAGAGACUUACCAACUCUCUGUGUUUAUAUUCUCGAUGACCAGCCAUUGCAUCUCUUUGCUGUCUUUCUGAUGCAGUUCUCACCCCUUCUGGAUAGACUGGGCUUAGUAAGAAAGAAAGGGCUUUGUCAUUUGUAUAGUGAGUGUAUUUUGGGUGUCUUUCAUCUUGCUUAUAAACCGAUUCACUCUCUGAAGCUUUACACUUUUAUAUAAUUAAAUUGAUCAGUGUUGUCUUUUAUGGGCUUAGUUUGGUCUCUUGUCAUGAUUAUACCGUGUUUCCUCAGACAUUCUUCUAGAAUAUUUAUUGUCUUGUAAAGAUUGAAGGAUUCAUACACUUCAGAAGAGUCAAAUUGACAAACAAUCUAAAAAUAAGAUAUAUAAAAUACUUCAGUAUAACAUUUUAUUGUAAAAAGUAAUAUAUUACAUCUAUUAUAAUAUGAAUAUAUGUGAUAUAUAACCGUUUAAAGUAUAUAUGUAUAUGUGUGUAUAUAUAUAGUGUGUGUAUAUUAUAUAUAUAGUGUGUAUAUAUAUAUAUAUGUAUGUAUUUGUAUAUAUGUGUGUGUAUAUAUGUAUAUGUGUAUAUAUAUAUAUAUAUAUAUAUAUAUAGAGAGAGAGAGAGAGAGAGAGAGAGAAUAUAUCCACCUAAAAGAUAGGUAGCUGAUAACUAGUAAUGUUCACUAAAAGACCACUUCCCCUUACCUUGUUGACCCGUAACAAUAUGAACUGUGACAACUUUAGAAUGUAUCUUAAGAGAGAUUAUGGUUAUUUAUAAGAAAAAUUGUUUUGGAGCUCAGUGGUUAAAAGCACUUGAUCUUCUUCAGAGAAGACACAUGUUAAUCCCCGACCCUCACACAGAGACUCACAACCAUCUGUAACCACAGUUCUGGGAGAUUCAAUGCCCUCUUCUGGAUUCUACAGACAGUAGUAGACAUGGAUGUGAUGCAUAGACAUACAUGCAGGCAGAGCAUCCAUAUGCAUAAAAUAAAAAUAUGUAAAUUAGAAAACAUGAAAGACUAAUUUUAAUGGUAUGGUUCGGGGAUGUGUUCCUAGCAAGGCAGUAUACAUACC
rnacentral:lncRNA from 1 species